rnacentral:rRNA from 1 species
GACAGAGGGUGCAAACGUUGUUCGGAAUUACUGGGCGUAAAGCGUGCGCAGGCGGCCUUGCAAGUCGGGCGUGAAAUCCCACGGCUCAACCGUGGAAGUGCACUCGAAACUACCAUUCUUGAGUGUCGGAGAGGAAAGCGGAAUUCCUGGUGUAGAGGUGAAAUUCGUAGAUAUCAGGAGGAACACCAGUGGCGAAGGCGGCUUUCUGGACGAUAACUGACGCUGAGACGCGAAAGCGUGGGGAGCAAACAGG